rnacentral:rRNA from 1 species
AGAUCUAGAGUUUGAUCCUGGCUCAGGAUGAACGCUAGCGAUAGGCUUAACACAUGCAAGUCGAGGGGCAUCACAAGGAGCAAUCUGAGGUGGCGACCGGCGCACGGGUGAGUAACACGUAUGCAACCUACCCAUAACACUGGGAUAGCCCGGCGAAAGUCAGAUUAAUACCGGAUGACACAGGGGCCCUGCCUGGGGCUAUUUGUUAAAGAGAUUCGGUUAUGGAUGGGCAUGCGUUCCAUUAGGUAGUUGGUGAAGGUAACGGCUCACCAAGCCAUCGAUGGAUAGGGGAACUGAGAGGUUUGUCCCCCACACUGGUACUGAGACACGGACC